rnacentral:rRNA from 1 species
GGGGGAUAUUGCACAAUGGGCGCAAGCCUGAUGCAGCGACGCCGCGUGAGGGAUGACGGCUUUCGGGUUGUAAACCUCUUUCGCUACCGAACAAGGCUCCAUUUUUGUGGGGUUGAGGGUAGGUGGAUAAGAAGCGCCGGCUAACUACGUGCCAGCAGCCGCGGUAAUACGUAGGGCGCGAGCGAUGUCCGGAAUUAUUGGGCGUAAAGAGCUCGUAGGCGGCUUGUCGCGUCUGCUGUGAAAACGCGGGGCUUAACUCCGCGCGUGAAGUGGGUACGGGCAGGCUAGAGUGUGGUAGGGGUGAUUGGAAUUCCUGGUGUAGCGGUGGAAUGCGCAGAUAUCAGGAGGAACACCGAUGGCGAAGGCAGGUCACUGGGCCAUUACUGACGCUGAGGAGCGAAAGCAUGGGGAGCGAAC